GAUGAACGCUGGCGGCGUGCCUAAUACAUGCAAGUCGAGCGAACGGACGAGAAGCUUGCUUCUCUGAUGUUAGCGGCGGACGGGUGAGUAACACGUGGAUAACCUACCUAUAAGACUGGGAUAACUUCGGGAAACCGGAGCUAAUACCGGAUAAUAUUUUGAACCGCAUGGUUCAAAAGUGAAAGACGGUCUUGCUGUCACUUAUAGAUGGAUCCGCGCUGCAUUAGCUAGUUGGUAAGGUAACGGCUUACCAAGGCAACGAUGCAUAGCCGACCUGAGAGGGUGAUCGGCCACACUGGAACUGAGACACGGCCCAGACUCCUACGGGAGGCAGCAGUAGGGAAUCUUCCGCAAUGGGCGAAAGCCUGACGGAGCAACGCCGCGUGAGUGAUGAAGGACUUCGGAUCGUAAAACUCUGUUAUUAGGGAAGAACAUAUGUGUAAGUAACUGUGCACAUCUUGACGGUACCUAAUCAGAAAGCCACGGCUAACUACGUG
rnacentral:rRNA from 1 species